rnacentral:rRNA from 1 species
UAGCUAGUUGGUAAGGUAAUGGCUUAGCAAGGCAACGAUACGUAGCCGACCUGAAAGGGUGAUCGGCCCCACUGGAACUGAGACACGGUCCAGACUCCUACGGGAGGCAGCAGUAGGGAAUCUUCCGCAAUGGGCGAAAGCCUGACGGAGCAACGCCGCGUGAGUGAUGAAGGUCUUCGGAUCGUAAAACUCUGUUAUUAGGGAAGAACAAGUGCGUAGGUAACUAUGCGCACCUUGACGGUACCUAAUCAGAAAGCCACGGCUAACUACGUGCCAGCAGCCGCGGUAAUACGUAGGUGGCAAGCGUUAUCCGGAAUUAUUGGGCGUAAAGCGCGCGUAGGCGGUUUUUUAAGUCUGAUGUGAAAGCCCACGGCUCAACCGUGGAGGGUCAUUGGAAACUGGAAAACUUGAGUGCAGAAGAGGAAAGUGGAAUUCCAUGUGUAGCGGUGAAAUGCGCAGAGAUAUGGAGGAACACCAGUGGCGAAGGCGACUUUCUGGUCUGCAACUGACGCUGAUGUGCGAAAGCGUGGGGAUCAAACAGGAUUAGAUACCCUGGUAGUCCACGCCGUAAACGAUGAGUGCUAAGUGUUAGGGGGUUUCCGCCCCUUAGUGCUGCAGCUAACGCAUUAAGCACUCCGCCUGGGGAGUACGGCCGCAAGGCUGAAACUCAAAGGAAUUGACGGGGACCCGCACAAGCGGUGGAGCAUGUGGUUUAAUUCGAAGCAACGCGAAGAACCUUACCAAAUCUUGACAUCCUUUGACCGCUCUAGAGAUAGAGUCUUCCCCUUCGGGGGACAAAGUGACAGGUGGUGCAUGGUUGUCGUCAGCUCGUGUCGUGAGAUGUUGGGUUAAGUCCCGCAACGAGCGCAACCCUUAAGCUUAGUUGCCAGCAUUAAGUUGGGCACUCUAAGUUGACUGCCGGUGACAAACCGGAGGAAGGUGGGGAUGACGUCAAAUCAUCAUGCCCCUUAUGAUUUGGGCUACACACGUGCUACAAUGGACAGUACAAAGGGCAGCGAAACCGCGAGGUCAAGCAAAUCCCAUAAAGCUGUUCUCAGUUCGGAUUGUAGUCUGCAACUCGACUACAUGAAGCUGGAAUCGCUAGUAAUCGUAGAUCAGCAUGCUACGGUGAAUACGUUCCCGGGUCUUGUACACACCGCCCGUCACACCACGAGAGUUCGUAACACCCGAAGCCGGUGGAGUAACCUUUUAGGAGCUAGCCGUCGAAG